rnacentral:rRNA from 1 species
CCCAGACAGCCAGGAUGUUGGCUUAGAAGCAGCCAUCAUUUAAAGAAAGCGUAAUAGCUCACUGGUCGAGUCGGCCUGCGCGGAAGAUGUAACGGGGCUAAACCAUGCACCGAAGCUGCGGCAGCGACACUCAGGUGUUGUUGGGUAGGGGAGCGUUCUGUAAGCCUGUGAAGGUGUGUCGUGAGGCAUGCUGGAGGUAUCAGAAGUGCGAAUGCUGACAUAAGUAACGAUAAAGCGGGUGAAAAGCCCGCUCGCCGGAAGACCAAGGGUUCCUGUCCAACGUUAAUCGGGGCAGGGUGAGUCGACCCCUAAGGCGAGGCCGAAAGGCGUAGUCGAUGGGAAACGGGUUAAUAUUCCCGUACUUGGUGUUACUGCGAAGGGGGGACGGAGAAGGCUAUGUUGGCCGGGCGACGGUUGUCCCGGUUUAAGCGUGUAGGUGUGUGUUCCAGGUAAAUCCGGUUCACUUUAACACUGAGGCGUGAUGACGAGGCACUACGGUGCUGAAGCAACAAAUGCCCUGCUUCCAGGAAAAGCCUCUAAGCAUCAGGUAACAUCAAAUCGUACCCCAAACCGACACAGGUGGUCAGGUAGAGAAUACCAAGGCGCUUGAGAGAACUCGGGUGAAGGAACUAGGCAAAAUGGUGCCGUAACUUCGGGAGAAGGCACGCUGA